rnacentral:rRNA from 1 species
UACGUAGGUGGCAAGCGUUGUUCGGAAUUAUUGGGCGUAAAGGGCGCGUAGGCGGUUGGUUAAGUCAGCUGUGAAAGCCCGGGGCUCAACCCCGGAGGGUCGGCUGAUACUGAUUGACUAGAGUACGGAAGAGGUAGCUGGAAUUCCCGGUGUAGCGGUGAAAUGCGUAGAUAUCUGGAGGAACACCGGUGGCGAAGGCAGGUCUCUGGGCCGAUACUGACGCUGAGGAGCGAAAGCGUGGGGGAGCGAACAGG